rnacentral:rRNA from 1 species
AUCUACGGCCAUGCCACCCUGAACAAGCCCGAUCCCAUCUGAUCUCGAAAGCUAAGCAGGGUCGGGCCUGGUUAGUACUUGGAUGGGAGACCACCUAGGAAGACCAGGUGCUGUAGACG